UUAACACAUGCAAGUCGAACGAACCUUCGGGUUAGUGGCGGACGGGUGAGUAACGCGUGAGAAUCUGCCCUCNCGAGGGGGAUAACGGCUGGGAACGGCCGCUAAUACCCCCUAUGCCGAGAGGUGAAAUGAAUUUUUCCUGAGGAUGAGCUCGCGUCUGAUUAUCUAGUUGGGGGGGGAAAGGCCUACCCAGGCGACGAUCAAUAGCUGGGCUGAGAGGAUGAUCAACCACACUGGGACUGAGACACGGCCCACACUCCUACGGGAGGGAGCAGUGGGGAAUUUUUCCCAAUGGGCGAAAGCCUGACGGAGCAACGCCCCGUGAGGGAUGAAAGCCUCUGGGCUGUAAACCUCUUUUCUCUCGGAAAAAAAUCUGACAGUACUUGAGGAAUAAACCACGGCUAAUUCCNUGCCAGCAGCCNCGGNAA
rnacentral:rRNA from 1 species